rnacentral:rRNA from 1 species
CCUACGGGAGGCAGCAGUGAGGAAUAUUGGUCAAUGGGCGGAAGCCUGAACCAGCCAAGUCGCGUGAGGGAUUAAGGCCCUGCGGGUCGUAAACCUCUUUUGCCGGGGAGCAGUGGUCCGGACGCGUCCGGACCGGGAGAGUACCCGGAGAAAAAGCAUCGGCUAACUACGUGCCAGCCGCCGCGGUCAUACGGAGGGUGCGAGCGUUAUCCGGAUUUAUUGGGUUUAAAGGGUGCGUAGGCGGGCAUUUAAGCCGGCGGUCAAAUGUCGGGGCUCAACCCCGGCCUGCCGUCGGAACUGGGUACCUUGGGUGGGCGAGAAGGAGGCGGAAUGCGUGGUGGAGCGGGGGAAUGCAUAGAUAUCACGCAGAACCACGAUUGCGAAGGCAGCAGACCGGCGCCCUACUGACGGUGAGGCACGAAAGUGCGGGUAUCGAACAGGAUUAGAUACCCCAGGAGGC